CUCCAUGGAUCUUUAUCCCUGUUCAUGAUGGUCGUAUCUGCCUCCUGCUAUCUGUGAAUGAUUGAAUCGAAUUGCAGCAGCACAUGUUGAAGUUGUAAUGUUGUUGAGAUGCUAUGCUCUGGUUUUUCAUGUUCCUGCGAGCUGGCCUCUCUGCCAGGCUUCAUUGCUGCCACCAGUGGCGGAGGAGGCGGGGGGAAGCAUGAACCACCGUCCGCCGGCAGCCGCCACAUCUCCUUUUACUGGAACUACAGAUGCAGUAGCACCUGAUAUCUCACCUCGAUUUCACUUGAGAUGUUGGCAGCAAAUUGGAUGAAUCUGUUGGCUAAACUGUUCGACAGAGUCUGAAUCCAAUUUCCUUGUGCAUUUUGUAUUCUGAUCGUACCAAAUGGGCUGGCGGUUUCGAUUUCUUGGGCCGGGUCCAGCACAUCGGCAGAUGGCUUGAUGGGCCGCCACGCCAUCGUUCUUCUUUGCCGUGGCCUCUCUCGCUCCAUCCCCACACAUCCCGACGCCGGGAGGAAAAGCUACCGGGGAUGCUUCUCCUGAGCCUCGCGCGCGCGGCCCCUCUCGUCCGCGCGGCGUCGACGACGGCCACCCUGGCGGCGGCGCUGAAGAUGGGCGACGCGCUGCGCUCGCACCGGCGGCGGUUCACGGAGGAGGACGUGGCGGCGUACGCGGGGGUGAGCGGCGACCGCAACCCGGUCCACCUGGACGACGCCUUCGCGCGCGGGACGGGCGGGUUCCAGCGCGGCCGCGUGGUGCACGGCAUGCUCGUUGCCUCCCUCUUCCCCGCCCUCAUCGCCUGGAGCCGUGUACGCGAGCCAGUCCCUCAAGUUCGCGGCGCCGGUGCACGUCGGAGACGAGGUGGUCGCGCAGGUGCAGGCGCUCCACAUCAAGGCCACCGGCGCAAGGCACAUCGUCAAGUUCGCCACCAAGUGCUUCAUGGACGAUGAGGAGACUCUCGCCAUCGAUGGCGAGGCCAUGGCUUUUCUGCCGACACUGCAGCUCAGCGCGGAGGCAAUCAAGUGACAAGUUUCAGGAAAGUGGGAGAAGGAACAAUUGAACGUGAGAAGUAAGGCGGGGGAUAAUGUGCGGGAGUAGCAAAGACAGUGAUCCCAUAUUGGCUGUAACCUGAGAAGAUGUGUUCCCUCUUUCCCUCCAAAACUGAGCAGAAGCAAGUUGUACUGAGCAAAAGGAGAGCAAACACACCAAAUCUGAAAACAGCGAGACACAUUGAUGAAUGAUAAGAGGCGGCGAUCUACUGGUCCAUCCUCAUGAUGCAGCGCAGGCCCUCCCCCUUGAGCAUGAGGUCGAACGCCGUGUUGAUCUGCGAGAAGGGCACGCUGUGUGUGAUGAACUUCUCCAGCUCCAGCUCCUUCCUCAUGUACAUCUCGACCACUUCCGGGAGGUCGGUGCGCGGCUUGUAGUUGCCGAAGAAGGUGCCUUUGAGGGUCCUCUCGUUGAGGAAGUUCAUUGGGUAGGUCUUGAACACUGCCUCCUUGUGCGGCACGCCCACCAGCACGGCCACACCCCAUCCCUGCAUCCACCAGAUUGCAACAUUCAGUCUAAACUCUUCUAAAGCAGAACCUGUGAUUAAUUAUCGUUGGAGUGCAGAUUAUUUAUAGUAGGUAUAGUGCGGGUUACGUACAUCAUGGACGCAUUCGAAGGCGGCGAUCAUGGCGUCGAUGUGGCCAGUGCACUCGACCGCCCGGUCGACUCCACCAUUGGUCAUCUCGACAAGCACCUGGAGAGCAUCAUUGAACAGGUUCAAAUCCACACCAAUGAUCCUUGAUGCCCCAGCCAUCCUAGCCCCUUCCAUGGCCUGUCCAUGUCAAAAGCAUACAGUCAUUAUUUAUGGUGCACAUAAUUCUCUUCAGCCUGAAAAAAUAUGGCGUGGAAGAAAAACUCACAGCAAGUCCUACAGCUCCAAGACCGAAAAUUGCCACCGUGGAACCCUUCUUUGGUUUUGCGACAUUGAGCGUGGCGCCAAGUCCUGAAGAGAAAACGACAACUCAGCAACUAAUCGAGGCAUCCUAAACCAUUGUGCUUGAUUUGGAAACAAUGGCAUGUGACGAGCUAUUAUAUCAGUCUUACCAGUAGAGAUGCCACAGCUGAGAACACAAACUUUGUCGAGGGGCGCCUCGGGGUUGAUCUUCGCGAGGCAACCAACAUGGAUGACGGUGUACUCGCUGAAGGUGGAGGUCCCGACGAAGUGGAAAAUCGGCUUCCCGUUGAUGGUGAAGCGAGACUGCCCAUCGCCGAUCAUCACGCCACGAUCCACGUUGAUCCUGAGGAGAUCACAAAGGUUGCUCUCCUCUGACUUGCAGUGGGCACAGUCCUUGCACUCGCCGGUGAACACUGGGAGGACAUGGUCACCCGGCACAAGCUUGGUCACGCCCUCUCCGACGCUCUCCACGAUGCUGCGGCAAAGAAGCUAUUUGGUGAAAAGAGGUGCCAAAAAGGAUAAUCUAUGAAGAGCAAACAUGCUGAGGAGAUUAACUGGUCCAAAACUAUAUGAUUGUAAAGAGCAGUUUAUGAUGUGAACUUGUGUCAUGGAUGACGUUUCCCAUGAUGCUUCAUAGUAUGUUUAAUCCCAUUGGUAAUAAAAUAUGAUCACUUGCUUUA